rfam:Enterococcus cecorum DSM 20682 = ATCC 43198 genomic scaffold adfme-supercont2.1, whole genome shotgun sequence.
GGAAAUCUGUGAUGUGCGAAUUCUCCCUUUAGUGUGUUGACCGAACAUUGUUAUUGAUUUAUUGGGAUCUAAUUGAAUCUAUGCGGGUAACAUGCCUUUUCAUUUGGUAGUUCAAAGGAUAGAUAGAAGAGCCCACCUGCUAGUUUGCGGGAUCAAUACCUCGGGAUAAAAAACGGCAUCUACGGAUAGUAC